UUUUUUUUAAACCAAGGAGUACCCAUAAAGUCAACACUUCUCCACUACCGCUAUACCUAGAUAGAAAGCAAUAGGGGCACGGGCUAGUGUAAAUUAUGUUUCUAUAAUUUAUAAAUUAUCUCAAAUAAGAUAUCUAAAACAUAUUUUUUUUUAUACAAAAUAUAUGUUUAUUUGGCAUUUAGUUAAAUAAUUUACUGCUUAAUUUGUUAAGCAAAUGAGCUAGUUUGCAAUUAUUAUGUAAACUUAAGGGACCACUCUAGGCACCCAGACCACUUCAGCUUAAUGAAGUGGUCUGGGUGCCUGGUCCCUCUAGGAUUAACCUUUUUUUUUAAUAAACAUAGCAGUUUAUAAAUGGGUUAAUCCAGCCUCUAAAGCCUCUAGUGGCUGUCUCAUUGACAGCUGCUUGAGGUGUUUGCGUGCUUCUCACUGUGAAAAUCACAGUGAGAAGACGCAAGCGUCCAUAGGAAAGCAUUAUAAAUGCUUUCCUAUGAGACUGGCUGAAUGCGCGCGCAGCUCCUGCCGCGCAUGCGCAUUCAGCCGAAGAGGCGGAGAGGAGGAGGAGAGCUCCCCGCCUGGCGCUGAAAAAAAAGGUAAGAUUUAACCCUUUCCUCGCCAUCCAGCCCGGCGGGAGGGAGUCCCCGAGGGUGGGGGCACCCUCAGGGCACUAUUGUGCCAGGAAAACGAGUAUGUUUUCCUGGCACUAUAGUGGUCCUUUAAUAGAUAAUCCAUCCUUCAUAUUUAAUUUCAGUUUUAUAUAUUGUCAAAAAUUAAAUUGUUACAACAAUAUUGCCUGACCAUCUUUUCUGACAUAAUGAAUAAACCCUUACUUUCAUAUGCACAAUUUGUUUCCUUUCUAUAUCAAAAUUCAGUUAUUUUACAUUUGUUUUAUACUUUCAAAGCAUUAUGAAUAGUGAUGUCCCGAACGGUUCGCCGUACGGUUCGCCGAACGCUUCGCUGUGGACGGCGAACAUAAACAUAAACUUUGACCCUGUACCUCACAGUCAGCAGACACAUUCCAGCCAAUCAGCAGCAGACCCUCCCUCCCAGACCCUCCCACCUCCUGGACAGCAUCCAUUUUAUAUUCAUUG